CGAACGGGUGAGUAAUGCGUGACCAACCUGCCCCAUGCUCCAGAAUAGCUCUUGGAAACGGGUGGUAAUGCUGGAUGCUCCAACUUGACGCAUGUCUUGUUGGGAAAGUGUUUAGUGGCAUGGGAUGGGGUCGCGUCCUAUCAGCUUGUAGGCGGGGUAAUGGCCCACCUAGGCUUCGACGGGUAGCCGGCCUGAGAGGGCGGACGGCCACAUUGGGACUUAGAUACGGCCCAGACUCCUACGGGAGGCAGCAGAA
rnacentral:rRNA from 1 species